rnacentral:misc_RNA from 1 species
ACACCUCAACUCUCGUGGUUUGCUACGAUGAGCUUGGACUUUGGGGGUCUUGCUGGCCUGUGGGUCGGCUCCUCUCAAAUGAAUCAGCUUCCCAGUGUUUGGUGGCGUCACAGGUGUGAUAACUAUCUACGCUUGUGGUUUUCCACCAGAUAACCUUCAGUGAUGGGGGUUGGCUGGGGCUCAUAAACGUCUUUCCUCAGUGAAGACAGCUUUUUGAAC